GGGACACAAAUUGCUGCAGUUAAAAAGCUCGUAGUCGGAUGUUUCGAGUGUUAUGUGUGAUUUGCAUGAUGUGCCGGAAGGCGCGUUGUUUUGGCAAGUGACCCACUCGAUUGUUGAGGUGGACUCUCGUGUCAGUUAAUUCUGUCUUGCGGGAUGAUGGAAGCCUCUCUUGCACUGUGAAUAAAACGAAGCGCUCCAAGCAGUUUGGAAAGACUGAACGAUAAAGCAUGGGAUGCUGUCAGAAGAUCUUGGGAUGACGAGUUGUCGGUGAAUUGUGAUCCUAGAUAAUGAUUACAGGAGCAGUUGGGGCGAUUGGUAUUGCAGGGGUACCGGUGAAAUGGAGAUCCUUGCAAGACUGACGAAAGCGAAAGCAUUUCGCAAGGAUGUUUUCAAUGAUCAAGAACGAAAGUCAUGGGAUCGAAGAGGAUUAGAUACCCUCGUAGUCAUGACCGUAAACGAUCCUGACUAGGAAUCGGUGCGAUUGCAUAUGUCGUGCCGGCGCCUUAGGGGAAACCAAAGUUAUUGAGGUCUGGGGGGAGUAUGGAUGCAAGUCUGAAACUUAAAGGAAUUGACGGAAGGGCACCACCAAGCGUGGAGCUUGCGGCUUAAUUUGACUCAACACGGGAAAACUUACGGGGAUAGGACAAUGGAAGGAUGGACAGGCUGAAGCCCUUUCCAGAUUCUUUGGUUGGUGGUGCAUGGCCGUUCUUGGUUCGUGAAUUGAUUUGUCUGGUUUAUUCCGUUAACGAACGAGACGACGUUUGGAUGAUGCGUUCAUUUUAUGUGGUGAUUCUUGUAAUCUGCCCGACGCUCCUUCCGAGACGUACGCUGCAAGGCGUAGGAAGUGUCGCAAUAACAGGUCUGUGAUGCCCUUAGAUACCCCCGGCCGCACGCGUGCUACAAUGGACACGUCAACAAGUUCCAGCUGUUCUGUGUGGUGUAUUAGUGUUCGCACUCGCCGCGUAUUUUUGAAGGAAUGGCUAAUCUUUGAACCGUGCCCAAGGUUGGGAUCGCGGAGUGCAAUUCUUCCGCGUGAACAAGGAAUGUUUCGUAGACGCGAGUCAUCAACUCGCAUCGAUUACGUCCCUGCCCUUUGUACACACCGCCCGUCGCACCUACCGAUGCUGCUCAUCUUGAAUUCGUGGGAUUGGUCUUGUUUCGGCGAGAUUGAGAACGCGCGUGAAAGCCGUGCAGUAGAUCA
rnacentral:rRNA from 1 species